UGGCGGACGGGUGAGUAAUGUCUGGGAAACGUGCCCGAUGGAGGGGGAUAACUACUGAAACGGUAGCUAAUACCGCAUAACGUCGCAAGACCAAANAGGGGGACCUUCGGGCCUCUUGCCAUCGGAUGUGCCCAGAUGGGAUUAGCUAGUAGGUGGGGUAACGGCUCACCUAGGCGACGAUCCCUAGCUGGUCUGAGAGGAUGACCAGCCACACUGGAACUGAGACACGGUCCAGACUCCUACGGGAGGCAGCAUG
rnacentral:rRNA from 1 species